GCUUGCACUCAAUUGGAAAGAGGAGUGGCGGACGGGUGAGUAACACGUGGGUAACCUGCCCAUCAGAGGGGGAUAACACUUUGAAACAGGUGCUAAUACCGCAUAACAGUUUAUGCCGCAUGGCAUAAGAGUGAAAGGCGCUUUCGGGUGUCGCUGAUGGAUGGACCCGCGGUGCAUUAGCUAGUUGGUGAGGUAACGGCUCACCAAGGCCACGAUGCAUAGCCGACCUGAGAGGGUGAUCGGCCACACUGGGACUGAGACACGGCCAGACUCCUACGGGAGGCAGCAGUAGGGAAUCUUCGGCAAUGGACGAAAGUCUGACCGAGCAACGCCGCGUGAGUGAAGAAGGUUUUCGGAUCGUAAAACUCUGUUGUUAGAGAAGAACAAGGACGUUAGUAACUGAACGUCCCCUGACGGUAUCUAACCAGAAAGCCACGGCUAACUACGUGCCAGCAGCCGCGGUAAUACGUAGGUGGCAAGCGUUGUCCGGAUUUAUUGGGCGUAA
rnacentral:rRNA from 1 species